rnacentral:rRNA from 1 species
AGUGAACGCUGGCGGUAGGCCUAACACAUGCAAGUCGAACGGCAGCACAGUAAGAGCUUGCUCUUACGGGUGGCGAGUGGCGGACGGGUGAGGAAUACAUCGGAAUCUACUUUUUCGUGGGGGAUAACGUAGGGAAACUUACGCUAAUAUCGCAUACGACCUACGGGUGAAAGCAGGGGAUCUUCGGACCUUGCGCGAUUGAAUGAGCCGAUGUCGGAUUAGCUAGUUGGCGGGGUAAAGGCCCACCAAGGCGACGAUCCGUAGCUGGUCUGAGAGGAUGAUCAGCCACACUGGAACUGAGACACGGUCCAGACUCCUACGGGAGGCAGCAGUGGGGAAUAUUGGACAAUGGGCGCAAGCCUGAUCCAGCCAUACCGCGUGGGUGAAGAAGGCCUUCGGGUUGUAAAGCCCUUUUGUUGGGAAAGAAAAGCAGCAGGUUAAUACCCCGCUGUUCUGACGGUACUCAAAGAAUAAGCACCGGCUAACUUCGUG